rnacentral:lncRNA from 1 species
AUGCACUCUCCCUGCUUCCUUCUCACAUUGAAUUUACUAGAUCCAAGGUCCCUGUUAAAAGCAUUUAUAAGUUGUAGGGGAAAUGACCCCCCAUUUACUUUUCAGUUGAAACGCACAAGAGAUGUUGGAUAUGAUCCUUCCAAAAUGCUACACAGGUCACCUCAAGUGUUUUCAUUGCCGUUAAUGCACUUGAAGCCCAGUGGUGUUGAGGUGAGUACACAUCGCAAAGACGCCUCAACGCCGUUUGCGUUUGAAGAGCUUAACUCAAGUAGUCCACUGGGGGCAUCAGCUCAGCUCUCCGGUGUCUCUGGGAAGCUCUCGACAGGCCCACCGUAUGCUUCACCCUGUCCUGCCCUGUUCCCAUCACCUACCACAGUGUCGGCUGGAAAUUCUUUGGCGGUGCUGCCUCUACAGAAUCACGGUGAUCACAUGCUGUGUGGCAUGGAGGAUGACAGCGACGCCACCGCCGAGACGGCCGUCUGUCUGAGUGAUGAGUCUGAGGAUGAAGGUAACCCUGUCGAGGAGGGAGAUGAUGAAGGGGACGACGAGGACGACGAGAAAGCAGAGCACCAGAGUUGGGGCCUGUGGGCGCCGCCUAAGGAGGAUGUUUCCACAGACUAUUUAUUCUAA